CUUUAAUUACGUGCGUGAGGGAUAGCAGUGGUUACCCUGCAGUGUUGUGGAGCGAUAGCGCAGCAUCACGAAGCGUAUGAACGUAUAGCCCGGUCACUA
rnacentral:sRNA from 1 species